AACCAACUAAAGUUGCAAAACCGAGCAAGCGAAAAGAUGAUGUAACAGUCAAAAAAGGUUCUAAAGUUGCUCAACAAAAUAAGAGAAAAGUAACCAAGCCUUUUUCCGACGUUAAGGGUAAAAAGGUUGUUAAAGAUGUAGAUCUGGAAGAGGAUGAACAGGUAUUGAUGAAUUUUUUCGAUUUUGUUGUUUUGUAUUUCACUAUAUUUCUGUAUAUUUCAACAUAAUUGGAUAUGCAAUUCAGUAUAUUUCUGUGUAUUUAAUAAAAAGUAUAUGUGCAUCAACUGUAGUUUAUAUCAUAUACAACAUAACUGUGGUAGCUGUGUUCGUAGUUAACUGUA